rnacentral:tRNA from 1 species
GGAGGGGUGGCUGAGUGGUCGAAAGCACUGGUCUUGAAAACCAGCGAAGGUAAAAACUUCCGUGGGUUCGAAUCCCACCCCCUCCGCCA